CUUCCUUGUGGGAAUCCCGCGAGUUGCCAAGCAGCGCCUUAUGUAUGUAUGUGUAUAUAAGGCGUCGAGAUGAACCUCGGGAGUUAGACGCUUGCUACUGCUUGAAUCUCCUUGUCCCUCGUCAGAACAAUGGUGAACCGCAGCUUGCUCUUCCUCCUCCUGGUGGCUCUGGCCCUCUCAGCCGUGACACUGGCUAAUCCACUGCCCGAUGCCGGUGCCAAGGCUCACUUCCCUGGUUAUGGUUACGGAUACGGCGGACUCGGUUACGGAUUCGGGCACGGAUACGGACACUACGGUAUCCCUGUCUAUCAUCACUACGGUUAGAAGACCGAAUUGCAUGAUGGCAGAACGUCGCCAGCAAAAACAUCUCUCGAUCUUCUCACAAACGGAUGGAUCUUUGACCGAAGAAACCAAAUGCCCGUUGUAAAAAAACAAAAAACAAACAAACAAAAAAUACUCUUCAUUUCCCUUCACUCCGCCAUCUGUCGAAUGUGUUUGUUGUAUCAGAUUUGCUGUUUUCUAAAACCGUCUGAUAAAUCCGAAAUGACAUUA